AAAUUGAAGAGUUUGAUCAUGGCUCAGAUUGAACGCUGGCGGCAGGCCUAACACAUGCAAGUCGAACGGUAACAGGAAGCAGCUUGCUGCUUUGCUGACGAGUGGCGGACGGGUGAGUAAUGUCUGGGAAACUGCCUGAUGGAGGGGGAUAACUACUGGAAACGGUGGCUAAUACCGCAUAACGUCGCAAGACCAAAGAGGGGGACCUUCGGGCCUCUUGCCAUCAGAUGUGCCCAGAUGGGAUUAGCUUGUUGGUGAGGUAACGGCUCACCAAGGCGACGAUCCCUAGCUGGUCUGAGAGGAUGACCAGCCACACUGGAACUGAGACACGGUCCAGACUCCUACGGGAGGCAGCAGUGGGGAAUAUUGCACAAUGGGCGCAAGCCUGAUGCAGCCAUGCCGCGUGUAUGAAGAAGGCCUUCGGGUUGUAAAGUACUUUCAGCGGGGAGGAAGGUGUUGUGGUUAAUAACCACAGCAAUUGACGUUACCCGCAGAAGAAGCACCGGCUAACUCCGUGCCAGCAGCCGCGGUAAUACGGAGGGUGCAAGCGUUAAUCGGAAUUACUGGGCGUAAAGCGCACGCAGGCGGUCUGUCAAGUCGGAUGUGAAAUCCCCGGGCUCAACCUGGGAACUGCAUUCGAAACUGGCAGGCUUGAGUCUUGUAGAGGGGGGUAGAAUUCCAGGUGUAGCGGUGAAAUGCGUAGAGAUCUGGAGGAAUACCGGUGGCGAAGGCGGCCCCCUGGACAAAGACUGACGCUCAGGUGCGAAAGCGUGGGGAGCAAACAGGAUUAGAUACCCUGGUAGUCCACGCCGUAAACGAUGUCUACUUGGAGGUUGUGCCCUUGAGGCGUGGCUUCCGGAGCUAACGCGUUAAGUAGACCGCCUGGGGAGUACGGCCGCAAGGUUAAAACUCAAAUGAAUUGACGGGGGCCCGCACAAGCGGUGGAGCAUGUGGUUUAAUUCGAUGCAACGCGAAGAACCUUACCUGGUCUUGACAUCCACGGAAGAAUUCAGAGAUGGAUUUGUGCCUUCGGGAACCGUGAGACAGGUGCUGCAUGGCUGUCGUCAGCUCGUGUUGUGAAAUGUUGGGUUAAGUCCCGCAACGAGCGCAACCCUUAUCCUUUGUUGCCAGCGGUCCGGCCGGGAACUCAAAGGAGACUGCCAGUGAUAAACUGGAGGAAGGUGGGGAUGACGUCAAGUCAUCAUGGCCCUUACGACCAGGGCUACACACGUGCUACAAUGGCGCAUACAAAGAGAAGCGACCUCGCGAGAGCAAGCGGACCUCAUAAAGUGCGUCGUAGUCCGGAUUGGAGUCUGCAACUCGACUCCAUGAAGUCGGAAUCGCUAGUAAUCGUGGAUCAGAAUGCCACGGUGAAUACGUUCCCGGGCCUUGUACACACCGCCCGUCACACCAUGGGAGUGGGUUGCAAAAGAAGUAGGUAGCUUAACCUUCGGGAGGGCGCUUACCACUUUGUGAUUCAUGACUGGGGUGAAGUCGUAACAAGGUAACCGUAGGGGAACCUGCGGUUGGAUCACCUCCUUA
rnacentral:rRNA from 4 species